AGCUAAUACUUGCUUUAGCACUCUUGAUUAAGUUCUUGAGUGUGUACUUGUUAAGCCUUUUAAGAAAAAAGUUAUUAACUUAAGGAAUUAUAACAAAGAAGUAACACGUAAUGGAUCCGUCCAUUUUUAGUGUGUAUCAAUCGAGUUUCUGACCUAUCAGCUUUUGAUGUUGGGGUAUUGGCCUAACAUGGCUAUGACGGGUAACGGGGAAUUAGAGUUCGAUUCCGGAGAGGGAGCCUGAGAAAUAGCUACCACAUCUAAGGAAGGCAGCAGGCGCGUAAAUUACCCAAUUCUAAAGAAGAGAGGUAGUGACAAGAAAUAACAAUACAAGGCCAAUCUGGCUUUGUAAUUGGAAUGAUGGGAAUUUAAAACCUUCCCAAAACUCAAUUGGAGGGCAAGUCUGGUGCCAGCAGCCGCGGUAAUUCCAGCUCCAAUAGCGUAUAUUAAAAUUGUUGCAGUUAAAACGCUCGUAGUUGAAUUUCAAAGAAUCGAUAUUUUAAGUAACGCUUUUAGCUUAAUCCACAUAACUGAUACUACGUAUCGACUUUGUGCGCAUUUUGCUAUUAUGUGUUCUUUUAAUUAAAAUGAUUCUUUUUAAGGUCUUUCUUUUGCUCCGGCAUUUGAAGAUCUUGUUACUUUGAGUAAAUUAGAGUGUUCAAAGCAAACAGAUAUAGCAUUGCGCGUUUGAAUACUACAGCAUGGAAUAACAAAAUUGAACAAGUCAGAAUUUUGUUCUUUUUUCUUAUUUUGGCUUAGUUACGAUUAAUAGGAGUAGCUUGGGGGCAUUUGUAUUCAGAUGUCAGAGGUGAAAUUCUUAGAUUUUCUGGAGACAAACAACUGCGAAAGCAUUUGCCUAAAAUACUUCCAUUAAUCAAGAACGAAAGUUAAGGGAGUGAAGACGAUCAGAUACCGUCGUAAUCUUAACCAUAAACUAUGCCGACUAGGCUUUGGAUGAAAGAUUUUAAAAUAAGAGUUUUUUCUCUGAGGAGUUAAAACUCUUAGAUUGCUUCCUUCAGUGCCUUAUGAGAAAUCAAAGUCUUUGGGUUCUGGGGCGAGUAUUCGCGCAAGCGAGAAAGUUAAAAGAAUUGACGGAAGGGCACCACCAGGCGUGGAGCUUGCGGCUUAAUUUGACUCAACACGGGAAAACUCACUAGUUUAAGACAAGAGUAGGAUUGACAGAUUAAUAGCUCUUUCUUGAUUUCUUGGAUGGUGAUGCAUGGCCGUUUUUAGUUCGUGAAUAUGAUUUGUCUGGUUAAUUCCGAUAACGAACGAGAUCUUAACCUGCUAAUUAGCGGUAAGUACGACAUAUUUUUAUAUCGAAUUGGAUAUGUAUGAUUUGCUAAAUUGCGGUCGCAAAUAAUGAUGAUCCUGAUUGCUUUUCACGUCAGUGUUUUCCAGAAUCGUUGACGUGACUAGUAUAUUCUCGCUCCUUCUGUUCCCUGGACUUCACUUCCCUGGCUUAUCAUACUGUUUCCUUUUUGUGUAGAAAUGUAUUUAUUUUAUGUAAAGCUUCUUAGAGGAACGAUGUGUGUCUAACACAAG
rnacentral:rRNA from 1 species